UACGAAGGGUGCAAGCGUUACUCGGAAUUACUGGGCGUAAAGCGUGCGUAGGUGGUUUGUUAAGUCUGUUGUGAAAGCCCCGGGCUCAACCUGGGAAUGGCAAUGGAUACUGGCAAGCUAGAGUGCGGUAGAGGGUAGUGGAAUUCCCGGUGUAGCGGUGAAAUGCGUAGAUAUCAUCUGGAACGCCAAAGGUGAAAACAGACUGCUGGGAGUGAUGCUGACGCUGAGACACGAAAGCUAGGGGAGCGAACGGG
rnacentral:rRNA from 1 species